ensembl:snRNA U6 U6 spliceosomal RNA
GUGGAUUCAACGUUAAUAAAGCACAUAUACUCAAAUUUUAAUGAUGCAUUGAAUAUUACCAUGGCUCCUGCAUGAAGAUGACAUGCAAAUUUGUGAAAUGUUCCAUAUUUUU